UGGGGAAUAUUGCACAAUGGGCGCAAGCCUGAUGCAGCCAUGCCGCGGGUAUGAAGAAGGCCUUCGGGUUGUAAAGUACUUUCAGCGGGGAGGAAGGGAGUAAAGUUAAUACCUUUGCUCAUUGACGUUACCCGCAGAAGAAGCACCGGCUAACUCCGUGCCAGCAGCCGCGGUAAUACGGAGGGUGCAAGCGUUAAUCGGAAUUACUGGGCGUAAAGCGCACGCAGGCGGUUUGUUAAGUCAGAUGUGAAAUCCCCGGGCUCAACCUGGGAACUGCAUCUGAUACUGGCAAGCUUGAGUCUCGUAGAGGGGGGUAGAAUUCCAGGUGUAGCGGUGAAAUGCGUAGAGAUCUGGAGGAAUACCGGUGGCGAAGGCGGCCCCCUGGACGAAGACUGACGCUCAGGUGCGAAAGCGUGGGGAGCAAACAGG
rnacentral:rRNA from 1 species